rnacentral:lncRNA from 1 species
AACUCAUUAGACGGUCACAAAUUAAUAUUUUUUUAGGUCACAUUGGUCACAAUUUAUUUUUUUCAACGGUCUCUAUUGGUCACAAAUUAACCAAGUUAAUGGUUACAAUCAACCAAAUAAUCUGUGACCACACGAACACUUGUGACAACCUCUGCUUUCAACAGUAUCGUCGCCAGAACCAUCACCGCCACCCUACAGCAACAACGUCACGGGACAAAACCGCCAUAGCAAGCACAACACCAUCGGCCAUCCCUCACUAUUGCAACCACCAGAUCGCGUCACCAUUGCCAUCCCACACACAAACCACCAUCCACAACCACCAUCGUCCUCCUCUAGCCCAAUGCUAGAACCAAAUCCAAAACUCAUCCAACAUCACCAACAAUUCAACAUCACAGCCAUCAUCAUCAUCGGACCACCACAGCUGUCAAAGGAAAGCACAAUCUCACCACUAUCUCGGUUAGCAUCGUCGCAGUCGCUAACCAACAACGAUCGCUGGAGGCCAGAGUAGGAAUCCCCUUUCUUGAGCAGCCACAGAGAGUGAGAGAGAGAAGACGGGUGGGAAGAACGAGUGGAGAGAGAAUAUGAGUGGGAGGAGAGAAGAAAGGUUGG